GCGAAAUGCGAUACUUGGUGUGAAUUGCAGAAUCCCGUGAACCAUCGAGUCUUUGAACGCAAGUUGUGCCCCAAUCCAUUAGGCCGAGGGCACGUCUGCCUGGGUGUCA
rnacentral:rRNA from 1 species